GAUAAGGUUAAGUGAAUAAGGGCGCACGGUGGAUGCCUUGGCACUAGGAGCCGAUGAAGGACGGGACUAACACCGAUAUGCUUUGGGGAGCUGUAAGUAAGCUAUGAUCCAGAGAUUUCCGAAUGGGGGAACCCAAUAUCUUUUAUAGGAUAUUACUUUUCAGUGAAUACAUAGCUGAUUAGAGGUAGACGCAGAGAACUGAAACAUCUUAGUACCUGCAGGAAGAGAAAGAAAAUUCGAUUCCCUGAGUAGCGGCGAGCGAAACGGGAAGAGCCCAAACCAACAAGCUUGCUUGUUGGGGUUGUAGGACUCCAAUAUGGUAGUCUGUUAGUAUAGUUGAAGGAUUUGGAAAAUUCCGCUAAAGAGGGUGAAAGCCCCGUAGACGAAAUGCUAACAACGCCUAGGAGGAUCCUGAGUACGGCGGAACACGAGAAAUUCCGUCGGAAUCCGCGGGGACCAUCCCGCAAGGCUAAAUACUCCCUAGUGACCGAUAGUGAACCAGUACCGUGAGGGAAAGGUGAAAAGCACCCCGGAAGGGGAGUGAAAUAGAUCCUGAAACCGUGUGCCUACAACAAGUCAAAGCUCGUUAAUGAGUGAUGGCGUGCCUUUUGUAGAAUGAACCGGCGAGUUACGAUUGCAUGCGAGGUUAAGU
rnacentral:rRNA from 1 species